UUCCCUACCUGAGCGCUUCUUCCUCCAGAUCACAGCUCCAGCCACCACAGCUCCAAGGAGAACCAGGCCAGCAAUGAUGCCCACAAUGAGGAAGGUGGACUCAGAGGGUGGCUCUGGGAAGGGAAGG